GAACAAUUGCAAAAUGAAAACGAAGUGGUAGCUGGUGAAAACGAAUCCACGUUCUGCACGUACACAAAUGGACAUAUUAGGUGUUUUAUAAUAAUCGCAGAUGGUCACAUGAGCAAAGAGAUUUAACUGAACCGGUAGGCAUCAGUCUGAAGCGAAUGUGCAAUUACAAAAGCCCAGUACAGCUGUAACGCAGUGCAGUUGGACGAAUCCCAAUGACUGGUUACGGCUCAAGAGUACCGUCAACAACUGGGGCAGUUGGAAUGAACAAGCUCCACAUUAAUCAGCUAAGUUUUCAACCGUGUAUCAUCUGCAUUGGGGUAGCUGAGGUCCGUGUGCUUUGAGCCAAUGAAACUGCCACUAGCUAUUCCAAGUUGCAUAGUCGAUUAACUCCUAGAGGCUUCAGCUACCGUUCGCUGGAUCCGUCGCUUCACAGAAACGUGAAGUUCGUCAUUAGUAACGUGUACAGCUUUGACGGCAAACCCCUGUCGAUUUUCCUGUUUCAAAGUCAAGCCUUCGCGUCGGUUUAGUAAAUCCCAGAAGAGGUACGAGAAUAGCAGCUUCCAGUGGACAGCAUCGGCAUGACUCGUGGUUUGUACGCAAGUUCGACAUUCAAAAUUGUGACAAGAAAUACUGUGGUUCGACAAAAGUGGCCUUUCGCCUUCUUCGCGACCUUAGCUCGUCUAUAGAGCUCAAGAAACGCUCGUUGGCCGUCACCAUUAACCCUUUCCCUGGCACAUAAACAGAUGCCGUACUGCUUGGAACAUCAUCAACAUCGUUAGACGACGUUGUCCGGCAACAUAAAGAAAAACCUUAAGUGUCAUAUCUAAAUUUAUGAACAAGUCAGCCCUCGAUACGUUCAAGGAGCAUGACGUGCACACGUCUUAGAAUUGGGACGUUGCUAAACGUUCAUUUUCUCGGACCGUCAACGGACACUCGUCUCUUUUUAAGCGAAUUCGAUCUUCGGAACCGGUGUUGAACCAGAUCAGCAAAAGGAC